rnacentral:rRNA from 1 species
GGAAACCCAGUGUGUUUCGACACACUAUCAUUAACUGAAUCCAUAGGUUAAUGAGGCGAACCGGGGGAACUGAAACAUCUAAGUACCCCGAGGAAAAGAAAUCAACCGAGAUUCCCCCAGUAGCGGCGAGCGAACGGGGAGCAGCCCAGAGCCUGAAUCAGUAUGUGUGUUAGUGGAAGCGUCUGGAAAGGCGCGCGAUACAGGGUGACAGCCCCGUACACAAAAAUGCACAUGCUGUGAGCUCGAUGAGUAGGGCGGGACACGUGGUAUCCUGUCUGAAUAUGGGGGGACCAUCCUCCAAGGCUAAAUACUCCUGACUGACCGAUAGUGAACCAGUACCGUGAGGGAAAGGCGAAAAGAACCCCGGCGAGGGGAGUGAAAAAGAACCUGAAACCGUGUACGUACAAGCAGUGGGAGCACGCUUAGGCGUGUGACUGCGUACCUUUUGUAUAAUGGGUCAGCGACUUAUAUUCUGUAGCAAGGUUAACCGAAUAGGGGAGCCGAAGGGAAACCGAGUCUUAACUGGGCGUUAAGUUGCAGGGUAUAGACCCGAAACCCGGUGAUCUAGCCAUGGGCAGGUUGAAGGUUGGGUAACACUAACUGGAGGACCGAACCGACUAAUGUUGAAAAAUUAGCGGAUGACUUGUGGCUGGGGGUGAAAGGCCAAUCAAACCGGGAGAUAGCUGGUUCUCCCCGAAAGCUAUUUAGGUAGCGCCUCGUGAAUUCAUCUCCGGGGGUAGAGCACUGUUUCGGCAAGGGGGUCAUCCCGACUUACCAACCCGAUGCAAACUGCGAAUACCGGAGAAUGUUAUCACGGGAGACACACGGCGGGUGCUAACGUCCGUCGUGAAGAGGGAAACAACCCAGACCGCCAGCUAAGGUCCCAAAGUCAUGGUUAAGUGGGAAACGAUGUGGGAAGGCCCAGACAGCCAGGAUGUUGGCUUAGAAGCAGCCAUCAUUUAAAGAAAGCGUAAUAGCUCACUGGUCGAGUCGGCCUGCGCGGAAGAUGUAACGGGGCUAAACCAUGCAC